UCAGCAGCGGUGGUGGAAGCCCGGAUCCCAGUGGCAAUGUUCCUGUGAGCCACAGGGGGCGCCCGAGUACCGGGAGUCAGGAGGUGCCGGCCUAGUCCAGAGAGAACUGGGGCUGCUCUUCCAGGAGGUUAUGUGAAGACCAGAAAAGAUGCAGAGGAAUUUAAAAGCUGAGAGACACUUGUCCUUGUCCUCUGCUUGACAAACACAAAAAUCCAUCCUUGGAAGCCAGCGCAAAAGCCUUCUCUUAAGGGAAGACUUCUCAAAGUCUAGGCAAAGCCAUUUAUCCCUUUCUUUUUAUUACCCGCCCAAUUGCCGUCAUAACGCCGUCUCUACAGAUGGCUCUGAGUUCCUGCAGAGCAAGACAGGACUCGGCUCCUCCACGUGCCAGGUUCUGUCUGGUAGUUGGACAAACGCUGACAUAAUGGAAGUGAACAAAUAUUGAAUGAAUGAAUAAAUGCAUGACAGAGCAAACAAAUGAACAUGCAUAUUUCAACAUCCGGAAAACAGCGGGCUGCAUCAGAUGAUUUCUAAAAUCUGAUUUCUCAAUCAUUUCUGCUCUACCCUAGGACUCUGGUAAUCCACAAAUAAAGAGAUUCCUGUGGACAUGA